rnacentral:lncRNA from 1 species
UCAGGACCCUCUUUGACUCUUGCAGAACUUUGUUGGUGUCUUUGACCGAGCACAGAACCAGAGUGCAAACCACAGCAUCCACCGAGCUGUCCUCCACUGCCUGCAGAUUCUCCCCCGACGCCACUAUGAAGUUGUCGUACUCCAGGUUGUCAUAAACUUACAGGCCUCAGGACCCUCUUUGCCUCCUGCAGAACUUUGUUGGUGUCUUUGACCGAGCACAGAACCAGAGUGCAAACCACAGCAUCCACCGAGCUGUCCUCCACCGCCUGCAGAUUCUCCCCCGACGCCACUAUAAAGCUGUCGUACACCAGUGGCUUCAGUGAGCAAACACUGUCAUGGCUGGUGGUGCAUUGCACAGCAAGGCUUCGUCCACUUGAGGCUCAUCAGCGAGGACUGGAAAAGAUGCUCAAGUGGCCCAGAAGGGGGAGUUGAUGUAGGCUGAAAGUCUAAAGCUGUUGUUUCCUUUCACCUCCUAACAGGAUUAGAGGAAGAUUAACUACUGCCCGCAACCUUUGACCACACAGUAUCUGCUUCCAUGACUGCACUCCCACAGGGCUUGAACCAUAUCCUUAAAAAUGUAGGACGUUUUUACAACAGUGCCCUAGAAGUAUUGUUUUUGGUUCUCUGAAGAACUUUAUUUUUAUUUAUCUUUUAUUCUCAUGUGAAGGACAAAUGUUUUAUGCAUAUUAAUGAUUUCUCAUUUAACCACACUAAGAGAUUAUUAUUAUUAAUUAUCAGGUUCUGUAUAUCUUUUGAUAGAUUUUUCUCAUUUGUUUAUGGCUAU